rnacentral:lncRNA from 1 species
UCUAAUCAAACUCUUUAAUUUACCAAAAAAACCCUCAAGUUGCUAUUUGUGUCUAGCUUUGUAACUUAGGCUUUGAUUUUGAUCUAAGUUGAUAACUGGUUCUUUUCAAGUUUCAAAUUUUGUCCUUUUGAAUAAAUUUUUUCUAAAAUCAACUUCUAACUUUUUUUUACAUAUGCUCAUAUUUUUAUUUUUUUAAUCUAUCUUAAUUUGUUUUAUUUAUGUCCUUAUAAAGUAAGUAGAAGUCUUUUAAAUAAAAUGGUAGUAUUUAAAUCUUUACUUUUACUUUCUUUUGGAUUAUUAUCUAUUUAAAAGUAGCCUUUGAACUUGUUAUAGAAGUCUUCAAC